rnacentral:rRNA from 1 species
CACGUAGGGCGCAAGCGUUGUCCGGAAUUAUUGGGCGUAAAGAGCUCGUAGGCGGUCUGUUGCGUCCGCUGUGAAAACUCGGGGCUUAACCCCGAGCCUGCAGUGGAUACGGGCAGACUAGAGGUAGGUAGGGGAGAAUGGAAUUCCGGUGUAGCGGUGAAAUGCGCAGAUAUCGGGAGGAACACCAGUGGCGAAGGCGACUACCUGGCCUGUUCUUGACGCUGAGGCGCGAAAGCUAGGGGAGCAAACGGGG